GUCAGUGUGGCCGAGUGGUCUAAGGCGCCAGACUCAAGUUCUGGUCCUCACUGAGGGCGCGAGUUCGAAUCUCGCCGCUGACA